UUAUCUGUUUCUAAAAAAAAACUAAACUUUUUCUUUGUUUUCUCUGCAGGUCCAGGUUCCGGCGAGGUCCCUGGUCGAUCUCCACCGCCGAUUGCUGCCGCCAGCCACCGCUGGCCACCGUACACGGUGGCUGAAAAGCCGAAAAGGUGCAGGUGGUGGAGCAGGUGGUUGACAGAGGAGUGGCGGUGGGUGGUGGCAAAGGUCAAAAGGCUGAAGACCCUAGGUGCGGCGCACCUAGGGUUUGGUUGCUAAUUUGAUUGGGAUGGACUAGGGUUUGGUGGAAUUUGGGCUGUUAGUUGAUGGGUUUAGGUUGUGGGUUAUGCUGGGGUUUAAUUGUAAAUGGAUUUGAUGUAAAUGGGCCAAAAUUGGCCUACAACAGAUAUUUUGUUAUAUUAUAUAAUUUAUAAUACAAUAAAA